GGGGUGAUGAUGUAGCUGACCUAUCAUGGAGGAGCAGGGUGAUGAUGUAGCUGACCUAUCAUGGAGGAGCAGGUUGAUGAUGUAGCUGACCUAUCAUGGUGGAGCAGGCUGAUGAAGCUGACCUAUCAUGGAGGAGCAGGAUGAUGAUGUAGCUGACCUGUCAUGGAGGAGCAGGAUGAUGAUGUAGCUGACCAAUAAAGGAGGAGCAGGGUGAUGAUGUAGCUGACCUAUCAGGGCGGAGCAGGGGUCAUGAUGUAGCUGACCUAUCAUGGAGGAGCAGGGGUGAUGAUGUAGCUGACCUAUCAGGAAAGAGCAGGAGUGAUGAUGUAGCUGACCAAUCAUGGAGUAGCAGGAAGAUGAUGUAGCUGACCUAUCAUGGAUGAGCAGGAAAAUGAUGUAGCUGACCUGUCAUGGAGGAGCAGGAUGAUGUUGUAGCUAAUCUAUCAUGGAGUAGCAGGAUGAUGAUGUAGCUGACCUAUAAAGGAGGAGCAGGGUGAUGUUGUAGCUGACCUAUCAGGGAGGAGCAGGAGUCAUGAUGUAGCUGACCUAUCAUGGAGGAGCAGGGUGAUGAUGUAGCUGACCUAUCAUGGAGGAGCAGGGUGAUGAUGUAGCUGACCUAUCAUGGAGGAGCAGGAUGAUGAUGUAGCUGACCUAUCAUGGAGGAGCAGGGUGAUGAUGUAGCUGACCUAUCAUGGAGGAGCAGGAUGAUGAUGUAGCUGACCUAUCAUGGAGGAGCAGGAUAAUGAUGUAGCUGACCUAUCAUGGAGGAGCAGGGGUGAUGAUGUAGCUGACCUAUCAUGGAGGAGCAGGGGUGAUGAUGUAGCUGACCUAUCAUGGAGGAGCAGGGGUGAUGAUGUAGCUGACCUAUCAUGAGGAGCAGGAUGAUGUAGCUGACCUUUCAUGGAGGAGCAGGAGUGAUGAUGUAGCUGAUCUAUCAUGGAGGAGCAGGAUGAUGAUGUAGCUGACCUAUCAUGGAGGAGCAGGGGUGAUUAUGUAGCUGACCUAUCAUGGAGGAGCAGGGUGAUGAUGUAGCUGACCUAUUAUGGAGGAGCAGGGUGAUGAUGUCGCUGACCUAUCAUGGAGGAGCAAGGUGAUGAUGUAGCUGACCUAUCAGGGAGGAGCAGGAGUCAUGAUGUAGCUGACCUAUCAUGGAGGAGCAGGGGUGAUGAUGUAGCUGACCUAUCAGGGAAGAGCAGGAGUGAUGAUGUAGCUGACCAAUCAUGGAGGAGCAGGAUGAUGAUGUAGCUGACCUAUCAUGGAUGAGCAGGAUGAUGAUGUAGCUGACCUAUCAUGGAGGAGCUGAAUGAUGUAGCUGACCUAUCAUGGAGGAGAGGGGUGAUGAUGUAGCUGACCUAUCAUGGAGGAGCAGGAUAAUGAUGAAGCUGACCUGUCAUGGAGGAGCAGGGGUGAUGAUGUAGCUGACCUAUCAUGGAGGAGCAGGGGAGAUGAUGUAGCUGACCUAUCAUGGAGGAGCAGGAGUGAUGAUGUAGCUGACCUAUCGUGGAGGAGCAGGAUGAUGAUGUAGCUGACCUAUCAUGGAGGAGCAGGGGUGAAAAUGUAGCUGACCUAUCAUGGAGGAGCAGGGGUGGUGAUGUAGCUGACCUAUCAUGUAGGACCAGGAUGAUGUAGCUGACCUUUCAUGGAGGAGCAGGAUGAUGUAGCUGACCUAUCAUGGUGGAGCAGGGUGAUGAUGUAGCUGACCUAUCAUGGAGGAGCAGGAUGAUGAUGUAGCUGACCUAUCAUGGAGGAGCAGGGGUGAUGAUGUAGCUGACCUAUCAUGGAAGAGCAGGGUGAUGAUGUAGCUGACCUAUCAUGGAGGAGCAGGCUGAUGAUGUAGCUGACCUAUCAUGGAGGAGCAGGAUGAUGAUGUAGCUGACCUAUCAUGGAGGAGCAGGAGUGAUGAUGUAGCUGACCUAUCAUGGAGGAGCAGGGGUGAUGAUGUAGCUGACCUAUCAGGGAGGAGCAGGAUGAUGAUGUAGCUGACCUAUCAUGGAGGAGCAGGGGUGAUGAUGUAGCUGAC
rnacentral:lncRNA from 1 species